CCCUUCCCCCCUUUUUUUUUUACUUUAUUUUCCUCCCUGCCCCCAAACUUUUUUAAAUUGCUGUGGUAUUUUGACUAUACAAAGGUAUUGAAAUAAGAUUUUAAUUGAAUGCUAAGAGAAUGGAAGUCCAGAAAAAAACUUUUUUUAAAUUAAAAAUUGAAGUUUUUUUAAUUUGUGCAGAAACAAUUAUUUAUAUUAAAGACAAGAAGACCCUAUGAAUUUAUUAAAUUUUUAUUUAAUAUGUAAUUACUAUUAGAAAAAUUUUGGCUGGGGCGGCUAGAAAAUAUUAUGAACUUUUUAAAAAUAAAAUGAUCCAUUAUUAAUGAUUUUAUGUUAAAUACUCUAGGGAUAACAGCGUUAUAUUUUUUGAUAGAUCAUAUUGACAAAAAAGUUUGCGACCUCGAUGUUGGAUUAGGAUACUUUUUUAAUGAAGAUAUAAAAAAAGAAGUUGUCACGUAAC
rnacentral:rRNA from 1 species